rnacentral:rRNA from 1 species
AGAGUUUGAUCCUGGCUCAGGACGAACGCUGGCGGCGUGCUUAACACAUGCAAGUCGAACGGAAAGGCCCUUCGGGGUACUCGAGUGGCGAACGGGUGAGUAACACGUGGGUGAUCUGCCCUGCACUUUGGGAUAAGCCUGGGAAACUGGGUCUAAUACCGAAUAUGACCAUGCACUUCCUGGUGUGUGGUGGAAAGCUUUUGCGGUGUGGGAUGGGCCCGCGGCCUAUCAGCUUGUUGGUGGGGUAAUGGCCUACCAAGGCGACGACGGGUAGCCGGCCUGAGAGGGUGACCGGCCACACUGGGACUGAGAUACGGCCCAGACUCCUACGGGAGGCAGCGGUGGGGAAUAUUGCACAAUGGGCGCAAGCCUGAUGCAGCGACGCCGCGUGAGGGAUGACGGCCUUCGGGUUGUAAACCUCUUUCAGCACAGACGAAGCGCAAGUGACGGUAUGUGCAGAAGAAGGACCGGCCAACUACGUGCCAGCAGCCGCGGUAAUACGUAGGGUCCGAGCGUUGUCCGGAAUUACUGGGCGUAAAGAGCUCGUAGGUGGUUUGUCGCGUUGUUCGUGAAAACUCACAGCUUAACUGUGGGCGUGCGGGCGAUACGGGCAGACUUGAGUACUGCAGGGGAGACUGGAAUUCCUGGUGUAGCGGUGGAAUGCGCAGAUAUCAGGAGGAACACCGGUGGCGAAGGCGGGUCUCUGGGCAGUAACUGACGCUGAGGAGCGAAAGCGUGGGGAGCGAACAGGAUUAGAUACCCUGGUAGUCC